AACUGUCAGCUGCUGUGUUCUGCAUUUCCUUUCCCAUCAUUACUAAUUACCAAAUUACCAAGCCAUUCAUUUAUAAAAAGAUGAGCUAGUUAGGUGAACUAGGAAUUGAUAAGAAAUAAUAAAUAAUGCUGAACAGCUGCAGUCAAGUUAAGCCCAAACUUACUCUGUUAAAAAAAGAAAAAAAAAAAGUGUUUUCUUUAGUGCUUCACUUCUGUUAUAGUUUGGCUGUAAUUGGUACUGGUAUCCGUUGUAUCCUUUGAUGAGCAAAAGGAAAGAGUGAAAAAAAUCCUGUGUAUAUAUCCUGUGUACGUGUCCUUCUUCUGAGUGUUUCUGCUCUGUGACCUUGGCAGGUUAAGCUCAAAAUCAAAAAGCUGAAAUUUUUAGUGGCUUUGCAGAAGAAACCCCUGGCCACUCUGGAAAAAGCUUGCAGAUGUAGCAUCUCCUGCUCCCUUUUUGCUUCCUGACAACUCUUUAAGCUCAUUUGUUGUUUUGUCUUCCCCCUUUUUAAAUACACUGUGUUGGGCACACAGCUACUUAAGUAAUUUGGGUCUGAGUCUUAACCAUGGCUUUUAGCCUAAGGUAACAAAGAGAAUCCUUGGCAUAGUGUAAAUGAGAAAACAGAGGCUUGUAGAUUUACCCUGGGGCAUCCAAAAAGUCAGUAGCAGAGCUCCCAGUGCAGUGUGUUCCCCAUUGGACCAUGACGCCGUUUUGACGUAACAGGUUAUAGCAUCACUGAGUGAGUUAAUCCGGCAGGGACAGCACAGGGGUAAGGAGGAAGCAUCUCUAGCAAGUACAUAAAUGCUUUAAUUGCCAGCCAUGCUGGAAGACAAGACUGGAUGACAUACACAUGUACUGGAGGAGGAGAUUACAGGGCCUGCCAUGCCCGUCAAAGCUAGCGUUAGUCCUGCCAUUGUGCUAUGGAUCUCCUCAAAAAUCAUGUAAGCGACAAAUCAAUGCAGCGUCAGGAACACAGAGGUCUAUGAGUGGAGCUGGGUGCAGGGCCCUGGGCACAGACCUUCACCCUGCCAGGGGAUGUUUGGAGGUGGCUGGUGACCCCCCCCCCCAAUCCAAGGAGUCCAUCACACCAUUAAUUUUCCAGGCCUGAAGUGCUAAGAUUACACUGUGCCUAGGGCAGGGAUGGACCAGGGUUAUUUGGAUGGGUAAAUACCCUGUUUUAAGGAGAAGAAGAAAAUAAGAUUUUUAAUGAAUGGUGGGUUUUCUUUGCUUUUCAGGAACGGCAGCCCUUUUGAGCCUUUCAGAGGAUUAGGACACAAAGUGAAACCUGCUAGGACUGGAGUUUCCCUGGGGCUCAGACUCUGCCAGACAGGAGCAAUUCCCAGGGUUUUCAAGGACGGCAUGACACAAUAUGGACUACCUACAAUGAAGACAUAUGAACUCUGGAGCAUACCAAACAAAUUCCUUGCAUACUUGUUUUCCAGCACAGCAUCAAUCACCACAGGGAUGGGAGAGUAUCCAAAACAGCAGGGGAAAAUGCUACAGCUUGCAGUUCUUGGAUUGUAAUUCAUUUAAAGCCAAGCACAUUAACUGUACUGCUCUAACAUCAGAUAGAUACAAAUCUCUUUUUUCCUUCUGCCCAUUUGCUAUCUGCAAAGGAUUGAGAUUCAAUAUUUAAAGUUGCCCAGUGUAGAUCCUCAGCUGGUGUAAAGUGGCAUAACUGAGCUCAACAGCUGUCCCUGGUCUUUGAACGCAAUGGAGCUAUGCUGAUUUACAUCUGCUGAGGUCUGAUCUAUCACUAUAUUUCCUUGGCUUUUUUUUCAUGGUUUGUUUUUCUUUUCCUUUUGCUUGACAAAAUAAAU